GUUGUUGUUGUUAUCCCAAACGCAAACCAGUCCGUAUCUUAUAAUGAAACGUUAUAUGUGGACGUUGGUGUUGUUGUUGUUGUGGACCUCGACCUAUGUUCAGGGUUCAAAGGUUAACCAAAAUGGCGGAGGCAGAACGAAAGCCGCGGUCGACGUCGAGGAAAACUAAGGCAAAAACUAAAGUGACACCCACAGCACCAUCCAUACGCGGCACAAGUAAAGAUGAAUCUGUGGCUAGA